UUGUUUGAUUCAGUAUUUUACUGUAUUGGACUUUUUGCUAUUCUGUUGACUAAAAUACAAUGCCGCACAAUAAUUGCUUUAAAUGUGCCUGAAAUGUAGGUUUUUGCAUAAAAAAAAACAACCUUCAACCUUGAUUGAGACAAAGGCAAUAAUUCAAAUGCAAUUCAAACUACACACAGUAUUUAAUAUUUUCAAAUGGUUACAAUAGCACAUUAUUUGGGUAUUUUUAUCUUUGGGGCAAAUUUAGGAUUAAUAUGGGGAUUGUUUUUGGAGGUAUUCACUUUACAUGGUGUUCAAGAUGGUUACUUCCGCCCACUCUGAAGAGUCUCGGCGUCUGAUUGGUCCAAUUUUCAGUUAGGCGCCGCCUGAUUGGCCGCUGGACGAUGUCUGCUCCUAACAGAUGGCUAAAUCACUAGUUAACUAUUUUCAUCAUGGAAAUUAUACAGCUCACGUAUCACACUUAAUAUUGAAUAUAUAUAAAAAGGGUUUUCCAAAAGGACCAUUUAUAAUCGAAAUACAAAACUUCACACACGAUUUUGAGCACAACAGAGCGCUCAGUGAACAUCACUUCCGGGACCUGCAUCACCGGAGGGGGACAUCUAUCUUGGCCACAAACCAUCUUUGACAGUCUUCGGCAGCAUGGUUGAAUCAGGUGAGCAUAAAAUGGAGUUUAACGUAAUUAAAUAGACCAAUGUUUUUUAACAUAGGAAAAUAGUUCAUUGUAAACAACAGUUAAAUGUUUGUUGUUAUUAAUUGCAAUCAGAUUUGAUUUUAUGAGGUCAAAUUAAGCAUUUCAGUUCUGGGCCAAGGCCAAGGCAUUUAAAUUUUUUUUUUUAAAGUUGCAUGGAAGAUUAUAAGUAGCAGUGAUUGUCACACACACACUAGGUGUGGUGAAAUUAUUCUCUGCAUUUGACCCAUCACCCUUGAUCACUAUGCUAGUAAACCUUUUCUUAAUUUUAAACAAGACAUACUAGAGUUCUUCAAAUUGUUUAUACUUUUUCUCAAAUACAAAUAUGUCAAGCUGAUAAGCACUGUGGAGUAGGCAUGUUACUGAUAUUGUUACAUUAGUUCUUUGUUUGAGAAGCUUCAUGUCUGCACUGAUCCUAAAUUUAACAGUUUUUGAAGGGUUUGGUUCUUUGUUUUAUUUCUGUGUCACUGACUUUUUUCAUUUUUAUGUGUGGAUUUGUUAGGCGCAUCAACACAUGAUAUAGACAUCGUGCCCAAAAGAAGAGCGAGACGUAAUCCUGAGGCUGAAGCUACCGAGUUUAUUUGAUCUGGAUGUGACAAGUCUUGUUUUAAGGCCCAGUGGAUCAAUGAUUGGAAAGACACCAACUGUUGAUGUUCUAUCUCAACAUUCUCCAGACUCAUGUGACCGAUAAACCGACUUCAUCCCUCCAACAGACACCAACUGUUGGGGUUCUAUCUCAACAUUCUCCAGAUUCAGAUGUGAGCGAUAAACCGACUUCAUCCCUCCAACAGACACCAACUGUUGGGGUUCUAUCUCAACAUUCUCCAGAUUCAGAUGUGAGCGAUAAACCGACUUCAUCCCUCCAACAGAAACCAACUGUUGAGGUUCCAUCUCAACAUUCUCCAGAUUCAGAUGUGAGCCAUUAACUGACUUCAUCCCUCCAACAGAAACCAACUGUUGAGGUUCUAUCUCAACAUUCUCUAGAUUCAGAUGACAGCCAUAAACCGACUUCAUCCCUCCAACAGGUUAUUACAUGUCUAUUUUUACUAUAUCUGCUCUAAAUUUGACCCAACCUAUAUUUUGAAAGACAUUUAUUAAUUUUAAUCUCUCACAGAUCAGUUUAUAUGACAACAUUUUCGUAAGGGUACAUCCAUGUUAGUCAGUAGGGAGUUUGGAACUCAUGUUUAGCAAAACAGGAGAUGUUACAAGUCAACAACAUAAAUUCUACAUGUGAGCACUCGUCAUGUCCUCAUAUUGUUUGAACCAAGAAAGUGUGUUUCAUAUAAGGUCCUCAUAUUUUCUGAACCAGAUUAGUGUGUGUUAAAAUGUUAAUGUCAAAGCUUUAAAAUGAGUGUUUCAAUUCAGAAAAUGCAGUGCCUCUUGUUUACAGCCGGUUUUUGCAGCGCUGUUUUCAUUGAUCAAAGUAUUUUUUCGGUGGUCGUGUUUUUGGUACAUAACUUGUAAAUAGUGCGCAAAUAAUAGGCUAUAUUUAUAUAAAUACAUUCAAACCCCGUUUCCAUAUGAGUUGGGAAAUUGUGUUAGAUGUACAUAUAAACAGGAUACAAUGAUUUGCAAAUAAUUUUCAACCCCAAUUCUGUUGAAUAUGCUACAAAGACAACAUAUUUGAUGUUAAAACUGCUAAACAUUUUUUUUGCAAAGAAUUUAGGGAUUUUACCAUCUACGGUCCGUAAAAUUAUCAAAAGGUUCAGAGGAUCUGGAGAAAUCACUGCACGUAAGCGAUGUACUGCAUUAAAAACCGACAUCAGUGUGUAAAAGAUAUCACCACAUGGGCUCAGAAAUACUUCAGAAAACCACUGUCAGUUACUACAGUUGGUCGCUACAUCUGUAAAUGCAAGUUAAAACUCUACUAUGCAAAGCAAAUGCCAUUUAUCAACAAGACAGAGGAACGCCGCGGGCUUCGCUGGGCCCGAGCUCAUCUAGGAUGGACUGAUGCAAAGUGGAAAAGUGUUCUGUGGUCUGACGAGUCCACAUUUCAAAUUAUAUAUGGAAAUUGUGGACGUGGUGUUCUCCGGAACAAAGAGGAAAAUAACCAUCCGGCGCAAAGUUCAAAAGCCAGCAUGUGUGAUGGUAUGGGGGUGUAUUAGUGCCCAAAGCAUGGGUAACUUACACAUCUGAGAAGGCACCAUUAAUGCUGAAUGGUCCAUACAGGUUUUGGAGCAACAUAUGUUGUCAUCCAAGCAACAUUAUCAUGGGCGCCCCUGCUUAUUUCAGCAAAACAAUGCCAAGCCACGUGUUACAACAGCGUGUCUUCGUAGUAAAAGAGUGCGGGUACUUUCCUGGCCCGCCUGCAGUCCAGACAUGUCUCCCAUCGAAAAUGUGUAGCGCAUUAUGAAGCGUAAAACACGACAACUUAAGCUUUACAUCAAGCAAGAAUGGUAAAGAAUUCCACUUUCAAAGCUUCAACAAUUAGUUUCCUCAGUUCCCAAACGUUUAUUGAGUGUUGUUAAAAGAAAAUGUGAUGUAACACAGUGGUGAACAUGC